rnacentral:rRNA from 1 species
GUCAUCUGUCUGAAUCUGUUUAUAACAAAUGUUAAAACUUUCAACAACGGAUCUCUUGGUUCUCGCAUCGAUGAAGAACGCAGCGAAAUGCGAUAAGUAGUGUGAAUUGCAGAAUUCAGUGAAUCAUCGAAUCUUUGAACGCACAUUGCGCCUCCUGGUAUUCCGGGAGGCAUGCC